rnacentral:pre_miRNA from 1 species
UACGUACUCCCUUCGUCCCAAAAUUCUUGUCUUAGAUUUGCCUAGAUACGGAUGUAUCUAAUACUAAAAUGUGACUUGAUACAUCCAUAUUUAGACAAAUCUAAGACAAGAAUUUUGGGACGGAGGGAGUACUUG